GUUGCUGCGUAUGACAUCUCUUGCAAGCUCCCAGAGAGAAUUGAUGGAGCAUACAGCUAGGGAAUAGGAUACUAGAGAAGCACAGAGGAAGAAACCAGGCAAUCACCAGGAUGGAAAGGUUCAGCGUCCAUUGGAUAUGGGACAAGAUCGCUCGGCAACCCUUGUGGAUUCUCCUUCUUCUAGAGGCGAAUUAUAGUUAUGGAUUUAUUGUCCCGGUGCCGCACUUCCACCACCACCACCAGCAACAGCAGCAGCUUUCUGACUCUCUUCGGUGACGGGUAUUCUUGGGUGGAUAAUACGGAUUACGUUGUUAUUGCUUAAGAAUACGCGUAGUCGAGGAGAGUACCGGCGGCGGGCAGGCAGGCAGGCAGCGCGACCGCCCCCAGCCCACCAGCUGGCUCCUCACCUCCUCUAGUUGCCAAGCUGUACAGCCUAAGUUUCGUGGACUAGCCCAUCUUCCUUCCUUCUUCACCAUGCCAAAUCACCCAUGGAAAGCUGUAGAUCUUCAGUCUGUGGGGACAAUCUAACAACAGCAACUUCUGGGGGUGCUGCUACAAGGUGAGCCUUGGACUCUGCCUACGGUCUGUGCUCCCAGAUGUCAGCCUAUGACAGCAGAUGGAGGGACACCCGGAGCUCUGCUUCCCCCAGGCACUGCACUGGGCAUUUGCUGCUCCCAGAGCUGCCGCACGCCAUGGGACCCCCAGCUGCCGGAUGCCUGACCCAGCUCGACUGCUGGUGGAGAUGUGUUGGGGCUGGCUUUGCCCUGCUUGCUGCUGCCUGCAUGCCUUAUUCUUCUGACUUAUCCCUCAGCCCAUUCCCAUCCCAUUGUGCUGCUGCCUCUGGGCUGUAUUGAGUUUUCAAUUAUCACAAUAUACAAUGCAGAUGCUAUGUAAAACAGCCAGCAUCGCUGGAGCACGCUGAACUCAGUAGAAACACAGUUAAAUAAAAGUAAUACUAUAAUACCAGGAGGCUGAUUGGAACCACAAGAUACCAGUGUCAUAUCCUGUGGCUUUUAUGUUGGUAGACGUAGAUUUUAGCCAUUAGAGUCUAGCUAUCCAACAGAUAACAACCAGAGGAAAUGGGUCUGGGUAUCUUCAAUUGUGAAUAACUGAUACACAUUUGCCAAUAAAUGGAGGACUUGGUAAACUGCCAGAUGAAGAAAACAUUUGACAUACAUACAAAUAUAAUCAAGCAUUUAAUAUGGUGUAGCAUCUAACUAUGUGUAACUUAAAGAAACUCCCUGAUUACACACAAUACCAUUAAAGUGGUACAUCAAGAGAGCUCUGACUUCAGACAAGCAAUGUGUGGUUGCACUGUCAACUCCAAAUUCAGGCAAGGAGAUAAACAGCAAGUGUGGAUCUCAAUUUAUAUAUUUGUACCAGCAGCAACAACCUCCCAGAUGACAAUGAUAUUGUAAUAUCUAUGUGGGUGUAAAAUGCUAUGACAAAAGAGGAAGAAAUAAGAAAAAAUACAGUAAUGUCAAGUUUGCCUGUUAACUUUUACAGAAGCAUCUGGAAUUUUAGUAUGUGUUAUGCAGACAAAUGGAAAGAGAGAAACGCAUUAACUGUGUUUUUCUCCACAGCAAAAUGAAAUAAGCACAGAGAGCAAAUUAUUAUAUUUAGUACUCUCAGGGCAAAUUCUAGUUGAAGAUUGUGAAGUAAUUUCAAAAUAUUAAUGAAUUAGCCUCACAGCUAUCUUUCAGGUAGAUAAUAAUGAUAAUUGUUACUACAAAUAAAUAUUAUUAUUAUCAGUCUUGCUCCAACAAAUGAACAUUGAUGCAUAGAGAAUUUAUGUCUUUGUCCAAAGUCUUUGUUUUACUACUGUAACCAUCCUUCUCUAGAACUAUUAUAUAUUAAGAUUAUCCUUUUCCAAAUACUGUGUGUGAUACUAUUCACUUUAUAAGGUCUAUAAACCAGCCAACUGAGCUUCCUUGUGCCAGUGAUCAUCUCCAUUUGCAUUUGAAUUCUCAAGCAGCAACAAUCUUGCUUUAAAAAAAAAAAAGAAGAAGAAAAAAGGAAUCAUGAAAAUCCAUACAAAAUCUGUCAAGGCCCCAUCUGUGACUGGGUAUCAGAAUAUCACUAAGAAGCUCUGAGAAACAAAGUUCAUUCCAAGUCUAACGCAUAGUGCUUUUCGGUCGAUGAAAUUAAUUCAAGCAGGGGUAAAUGAGGGCACAUACCAUGAAAAACUGUUCCUCCACUGAGGGUGGAAGGAAAGCAGCAUCACUGCUGUGUGUGUGGUCUUGGUUUUGGUGCAUGUAGCCAUGUUUAAAUACUAAAUGUUUUACAAGGCAAAAUAAUCA